CCCAUCACCUAUACAGACACACCGGUAAGACAACGUGCAUGGAUCGGCAGAGUGUUUCUAAUCUAUUUGGUGAUAAAGGCAAAGACUCGCCUUGAUCUUGUCUUGUAAGUAAGUCCUUCCUCUGACCAGGAAACCCAUUUUACUAGGAGACUCCCAGCAACCUUUAUCGUUUCCUUGGCGCAUAGUACCAUAAAACUGGCUUGGAUCAAUGCACACUGGGGGUAAGCUAUGAUCCAAUUCCCUGUUUUUUAUUGAACCUGCACUUACAAUGAACUCGAACAUCAAUUACCAUUCCUACAACUGAAGGACAUUUCAAAAGGUUUACAAGCUCGCUACUGACU
rnacentral:lncRNA from 1 species